UGGUUGUUUCUAGCACUGCGGCCUGGCAGAUGUUUAUUAUCCAUUCUGAAAUUCUCCCUGUCACAUUUGAUGACAUCACUUCCUGGUGCAGAGAGGAAGCUGUCAUUUCUGUAGUAACAGCCACAAUUCACUACACUCUGUAAAAUCCUCACCCAUCCUUGUUUCCAAGCAGGCCUAUCCAAGCAUCGUUGGACAUGUACCUGUGAAGCAGCUGCAGCUUCGUAAAUCUUCAUUGAGAUGGUAGUGAAGAGAGGAAAAAGAGGUGCACCGAGGAGAAGGGUUCUGCACUCUCAGAGAUUUCGGGAGGAAUAGGAGAGCUUGGGACCAGCAUCCAAAGUGACAAUUUGCUCACAACCACCACAGAGGUAAGGAACCCCACCAGAAGGCCCAGGAUGGAGGAGGACAUUGUCGGUGGUGCAGGAAGGCUCAGGGUGGAAGAGGACAUCAGGAGGAAGGAAGGAAGACAGAGGCACAGACCCGGAAGAGCAGGAGGCAUUGCUAGACUUGCUGUGAGACUUUGGUGAUGUCACUGCAGCCAGAGCAAGGAACAGAGCCGGGACUGAUACCACAGAUGGGAGUCUGAGGACAGCCGUAGAGCUAAGUAAAGGGAGUGUUGGAGGAUCAAAAAAGGGGGACCCCAGGGAGUCAGAGGCAAUGCUCGUCCCCACCAAUGGCUCACUAGGGAUUAGAAGAGGCGGGUGCCUAGGGCAGGCAGGAUCCGGGGGGGCCAUGUAGGCGGAGGGAGGGGCAUAAGACCCUCAUUCCCAGGGACAGUCAGGAGCAAGGGGUAAGUAGGGGAGACAUAGAUGCCUCUGCCUACAAGGGGCCCCACAGAGAGGAGGGCAGAUGAUAGGGAGUGGGUGAUGGAGGCUGACACCACCCCAGUGAAGUUAAGUAACAUGCGGGCAGACUCGUCAUCAAGGGGGGGAGGGAGUUUCAGGCUUAGGGAUGAAAGCAGGCCAACAUGGGGGCACAGGUACUCACUGUAACGACUCACCCUGGUAGUCUAGUGGGCCGCGGGGAUGCCCGCCAUGCCUCCUGCGGGGACCCCGCCGCAUGGUGUAUUUUCUUCUUAGUUGCUGGUUUCCUAUUUACACACCUUGCGUAAUGACAUCAUCGUGAUUUGGCACAAAAUUCAAACUAUUUAUAGGGGCUUUGGGUUUGAAUUCUGAAUUUUGGGAGCUGAACGUGACAGUAUAACGGGCCAAAGAUGGGUGCCGAAGGUCAUGCUGCCGCUGCUCCUCUCACCACGAGAUGUUCCUCUCUACCCUCCUACAGCGCUUAGAGGAAAAAGAGAGGAAACAAGACUUCAUGGUCCAAGGUCUGCAUACUCUCUAAGCCAAGCUACAUGCCGUUCAGCAACUACCUAUCCCUGCGAUACAACCACCUGCUGCAGUUCCUGUGGGGUCUUCCCAUCUACCCUGGGUUAUAAAGGUAGUUCUCAUGAACCUGAAAUCUCCUUCCCUGAUAAGUUUAGUGGGGAUAGGAGUAAGUUUUUUAUUUUCCAAGAGGCAUGCAAAUUGUAUCUCAGCUUUUUCAUUUACUCCUUAUUUUUUAUCGUCUUCUGAGGCCAAUUGUGAUAUUGGUAGUAGAGAAUUGUUGGCUAUUAAAUGGGCCUUUGAGGAAUGGAGACACUUGUUGGAGGGGGCUAAACAUACUAUCACGGUUUAUACUGAUCAUAAGAAUCUACUGUAUAUUGAGUCAGCAAAAUGUUUGAAUUCAAGACAGGCCAAAUGGGCUUUAUUCUUUAUCAGGUUUACUUUAACUGUUAGGAAUUUAAUGUUACAAUGUAACUUGAGGAACUUUUAACUCAUUCAUAGGCAGGAGGAACAGUGUAGUGCUGUUGCUAGGGAGCACCAUCUGAGAAACAGAGCCAACAGAUAAUGAGAAAAGUCUGAACACGGUGGGUCAAGCCUGAAAAUCCGUCCAACUAAGCUGGGUAACAGAAGCCAAAUGUGAGGUCAAAUGUCGUAGAUCCAAACCAAUAGAUUUACUGGACAAGUCUUCCCGGAAGUUACUUCUGGGUAGACGUAAGUAUAACUGCGCAGCACAACUGCGAAUGCGUUGCCCUUUAAAUCGUCAGUGGAAGGCAGCUGCAAGUUAAGGCACAGAGCUGCAGAGCUGCAGUGCCUAACACUAACAUACAGGCCUGGUUUCAAGAAUAUUAAAGCAGAUACACUACUAGGAGCUUUGAAUCAAGUCUGUAUGAACCUUUAGAGUGUGUUUUCAUUAUUCCCAAAGAGGUGAUUGUGGCAGCUUUAGGGUCAAAUCUUGCCACACUCCUGUCUAGAGUGCAGACAUUGGCUCCAGGUCAUACUUCUUCUAGGAGACUGUUUGUUCCCAAAAAUCAGUGGGAGCAGGUACUCUGUGAAGCUCACCGAUUCUAAAAUGGCGGCUCAUCCAGGUAUUACCAAAACUGCUGCUUUAUUGUCUCAAAACGUUUGUUGGCCUUCAUUUAAACAAGGUGUGCAAAAAUUUGUCAAUUCUUGUCUUGUUUAUCAAAGGUCAAUAUCCUCUAGAAAUCUAUCACAGGGAUUGUUAAGGUCAUUGCCUAUUCCUAAUAGACCCUGGUCCCAUCUGUCGAUGGAUUUUAUAGUGGACUCUCUGGGAAAAACUGUGAUUUGGGUGGUGGCUGAUAGAUUCAGCAAAAUUAGUCAUUUUAUUCCUUUUCCACACCUUCCUUCUGCUAAAACUUUGGCUGAAUUGUUUAUUUCUAACAUUCUUCAAUCAUGGUUCUUCAAUCAAUAUCGUGUCUGACAGGGGAGUACAAUUUGGUUCUAUGCUUUUCGUCUACUCACUGAAUUGUUGCCUUCCGUCCAAAACCUUGGAAACGAAUGUGUCCUUUUGCUCGUUCAGAACAUCUGCUUUGCUCCUCUCAAGUUAAGACCUGGUGGCAUCUGAUUAGCUGAGGGCUCCUCCCGAGGCCAAAGGCGGCUACUACAGGCGGAAUAUUGAGCGUGACCAGGGAGCUUUGCACUUGUUCUGAAUUUAGGGAGCCAUACGUGACAGAUGGUCUUCCUCAAUGUCAAAGUAUAACAGCAUCCAUCCAAUUUAGGGGGCUCCAGGGGAAUCUGCAUAUACAAAAUGUUAUUCUUUCUCAACUGCAUGACCUAUAAAUAUAUUGAUGAACAGGUAUCAUCAAUACAAGAUGCCUUUUCCUAUUGUCCUAGAUACUUAAAUUAGCAUGAAAAGUACCUUAGAUUGAUUGUUUAGUUAGAUAUUAAAACUCAGUCCCAUAUCAACCAUUGUAUUGAUUCUGGUUUCUAUAAUAUUAUAGAAACCACUUUCCCAUACUUUAUAUCUAGCAUUAACAGUGUACCUAGAGCAAAGAUCUCUAAACUUUAUUAUAUUACAGUUAGAGUGUUUGUAAUACUAUAGUAGAAAUAAUAAUUCAUUCUAAAAGCCUCAUGGAAAAUAUGUAAAAUAUAUAUUCUGAAUAUAAUAAUGGACUCACACUUCUGUUGCUAAUUACAUUAACUUUAUUGAGAUUAAGGUGUAGCUGCAGCAUUCUCCAUUGGUAUUUACGUCUCUCUUUAAAUAUGUGAAAGAUUAUAUAUGCUCUCACAUAAAAUCUUAUUGAUUUUUGAUAUAUUUGAAAUUAUCACAGGCACUAACGACAAACUAUAGCUUUUCCUCAUAAAUUCUAAGAAUAAACAUGAAAACAUAUAUUCUUUGUAUGUACUGUAUAAAAUAGUGCUGGUUUUAGUUAUAGGGGAUUCAAUUAUUAGAAAGGUAGAUAGGGUAAUCUGACGUAAGGACCCAUCAUGCCAAACAGUCUGCUGCUUGCUCGGUGCUAGGGUUCGACAUUUAGUGGAACAGAUUAUUGAGAGGGGCUGGGGAAGACCCGGCAGUCUUGGUACACAUAGGUACCAAUGACAAAGCAGGAGGCAGUGAAG